UUGGUGGCGAUGGCGGAGGGGUUCCACGCGUACCCAUCCCGAACACGACCGUUAAGCCCUCCAGCGCCGAUGGUACUUGGACCGCAGGGUCCUGGGAGAGUAGGACGCCGCCA
rnacentral:rRNA from 1 species